GAUGAACGCUAGCGGCAGGCCUAAUACAUGCAAGUCGAGGGGUAGAAGAGGCUUGCUUCUUUGAGACCGGCGCACGGGUGCGUAACGCGUAUGCAACCUACCUUCAUCUGGGGGAUAGCCCGGAGAAAUCCGGAUUAAUACCGCAUAAAAUCACAGGAUGGCAUUAUCCAAUGAUCAAACAUUUAUGGGAUGGAGAUGGGCAUGCGUGUCAUUAGCUAGUUGGCGGGGUAACGGCCCACCAAGGCGACGAUGACUAGGGGAUCUGAGAGGAUGGCCCCCACCCCUGAUACUGCGACAAGGACCAGACUCCUACGGGAGGCAGCAGUAAGGAAUAUUGGUCAAUGGAGGCAACUCUGGACCAGCCAUGCCGCGUGCAGGAAGACUGCCCUAUGGGUUGUAAACUGCUUUUAUUCGGGAAUAAACCUUAUUACGUGUAAUAAGCUGAAUGUACCGAAGGAAUAAGGAUCGGCUAACUCCGUACCAGCAGCCGCGGUAA
rnacentral:rRNA from 1 species